GAGGGAAGCAGCUCAUUGUUGGCAGUGGUGUGGACCGCGACCAUUGUGCUGAGCUUCUACGGAGCAUUCAUGCUUUACCGCGGAUUUAUACGAUGCCUCCGAAGCAGGAAAAUGAAGACCAUUACGAAAGUGUAAGCUGCUAGAAGCGACAAUGCGUGGUAACCUUCUUGCAAGACUCGUCCGCUGUCGUCAGCGACCGGGGUCUAACUGCUUCGUCGUCUAUUUUACUCUCCAGCAUAGAGAUAAUAGCCGCUGGACAAGAAAAUCAAUUGAAACAUGUAACUUUUAUUGAAUAUUAACAUCUAGCGGUUACUAAGUCUAUGCCCUCUAGUCUCCAAUCGUCACGGUUGAGUUUGUCGUUAGUCAAUUGUUGAUUUUUAUCCAUUUCUAUUGGGAACCAAAGAGUUAUUAUUAAGUGAUGUUACUUAGUUUGGGUAUUUAUUAUUACAACAAUUAAGUUUUGGCGUAAUGUCGGUUGCUACUUAAAUCCCUACCCUGAUUGUCCCCUUUUCAUAAAUAAAAUUAUUAAUCAAUAGGUAGGUAUUUGUUUACCCACUAUAACGUAAUAAUUUCUUACUCCUAUCCCAACUUUACGUCUAAGCUCUGAAAUGCUUGGCGCUAUGUUAAGCUGAUUAGUACGUAGAUUUGAAAUAACAGUACACAUGAUUUGAGUCUUGUUCCUGACAUUUAGAAUGGGACAUUUUUGUUAGAGAUCUGUUAUGGGAGUGGAAAAGUUAGGAUAGUCGGCAAUCAAGUCACUUUUGGCGUGUUGCUGUAGGAUAAGAUUGUUUUAUCCCCCGUUAGGAGAACAUAAUCCAAGUGUUAGGAAUGUGCUUCUGUUAGAUGCCCAUAGCGGAUUGAACCACGGGGUAAAUCAUUCAUCUCAGUGUAAUAUAAAAAAAUAUCGACAGAUAUUAUAAGAUAGUGGUUUUAACAUUUUUACAGCAAACAGUCUGUCCGCAGGAGUGCUUCCAUGUUUUUAUAUUAAUAAAGCAUAUUUUGACGGUUUUUAUGACAUAUCUGGGCAGUCGGCGGGCUUUUGGAAUGAUGUUGGGUGUGCUCGGCACUGAGACUAGACCAAUCGUUUACUUUUUCAUUCAAAAAUACGAUAAAAGGCGAAUUAUAUUAUGAACUUUAACGGUGUUAAAGAAUACGAACAUUGGGUGGUCCAAUGAGUGGAUUAUUGUCAUGGACUGAGUCAGAGCACAGCCGUCCAUUUUAAUUGAACAUCUGCCUGAAGUCAAACUAUUAACUACAUAAACUUCUAAAAUGAAUACUCUAACAAUGAUUUUAGGGAACGGUCGAGAGCUAGACAUAGCGAUUCGUCAGCUGUAAUUUCUUGAAUGUGUUACAAACAGUUUUCAAAGUAUAUUUUGGAGAAAGCAAAAAACUAUUUUUCUAAUUUUACGUGUUCACACUAUUUUGAUAAGACUUUUAGUUUCAGGGAGUGUUUGCACAAGGCAACUGUUUAUGGACGUUUAUGUAUUCGUUAGUCAUUAGUUGGCUAUUUAAUUAGCAUAUUUUACAAUUAUUUUACAUGAUUUAGGAACGGCUAAGGAAAGAACUGCCAACAUUGAGUCUUGCAGAGCUGCGCUCUGGCGACCAAGUAAGACGUGACACAUCAUGCCACAUAUCAAACUUAAAUAUUUAAACAAAUCUCGUAAUCUCAAAGCGAAAGAUUGCAUUAGAGUUAAACUGUAUUAUUAAUUCUAUUGCAGCCUUUCUGACGCUUAAGUAUCAUCCAAGUAGAGCUUUGGCGCACAAACUACGUAUUUUACGAAUAGAUUGUAAGACCUAUAUUAAAAUGAUCAUACAGUUUGGAGAUAAUAAUCGUGUAUAACACUUUUUUGUAGAUUUUGCAUUUAAGCCCAUGUAUUGUGACAAGUAUAUAAUUAAUAAUGUGAGUGUGUUCUACGUCUCCUCGAUUUCCAUUCAUAAUUUCCUUUCUUUUUUGAGGCUUUCUAUCGUCUUUCAAUUUCGAUAUAUUAAUAAGUAAUCUAAAUCAUUGACACUAUUAUCUGUCUUACUACGAUCGCUUUUUACAUGCAUAUUAUAAAUUUCUAUGGAUAUUGUUAUACUAUUUUAUUGAAAAGUGUAAUUCUUUAGCUACUUCUCGUUCCUUCUCGACAAUAUACUAUAAUUUAAGGUACUAUGACUGUAAUAUCUCUGUCCCUUCUGUGUCUCGUCUUUCGUCACUAUACUUUGACCCUUGAUGUAUUUGUAACCAUAUAUCAUUAUGCCAUUACAAGAUAUUGAUGUGAAACAUGAUAGUUAAGGAAUCGUGUUAGACAAUACAAUAUUUGAUAUUUAAUAAAAUUUGAUUGUGUUUUUAUAA